rnacentral:lncRNA from 1 species
UUUACAAGAUGCGGCUUGUAUAACCGCCUCUUCCAAACCCUAGUUCCACCUCUUCGCAUCGCAUCCCCUUCCCCUCCGCUCCCCAAAACCCUCGCCUUUUCCGUUUCUUCAAAACCCUAGCCAUGGUGAAGAAGAAGAAGGAGAAGCAGGUCAACGUCUCGGGGAAGCCGAAGCACUCGCUCGACGUGAACCGCAGCAAUGGCGGAGGCGACAAGGGAGUCCGCUCCGCGGCCACGGUGCGGCGGCUCA